ensembl:lncRNA
CCGCAGUUAUGUUGAAUCGUCUGGAUGAGUGCAGCAGACGUAGCUGAGCACAUCCGCGCACACUUUGGCAUGAUUUUGUUGGUUUCUCAAGAUGAUUCAUCCAAGCUUCAACCUCUCAUCCACAUCGUCCACUGACAAAAGGAACCGCGAUAAACAACAGAGCCAGAAAACCCAAAGAGAGUGGCUGGUAGACGGGACUAUGGAGAGACACAAUGCUAACACGGAAAUCCCUCCGGACCCCUCUCCUGCAGCGAGGAGGGGGAAAGACACAGGAUGGGGAAGAAAG